UUGAUCCUGGCUCAGGACGAACGCUGGCGGCGUGCCUAAUACAUGCAAGUCGAGCGAGCGGAACUAACAGAUUUACUUCGGUAAUGACGUUAGGAAAGCGAGCGGCGGAUGGGUGAGUAACACGUGGGGAACCUGCCCCAUAGUCUGGGAUACCACUUGGAAACAGGUGCUAAUACCGGAUAAGAAAGCAGAUCGCAUGAUCAGCUUUUAAAAGGCGGCGUAAGCUGUCGCUAUGGGAUGGCCCCGCGGUGCAUUAGCUAGUUGGUAAGGUAAAGGCUUACCAAGGCGAUGAUGCAUAGCCGAGUUGAGAGACUGAUCGGCCACAUUGGGACUGAGACACGGCCCAAACUCCUACGGGAGGCAGCAGUAGGGAAUCUUCCACAAUGGACGCAAGUCUGAUGGAGCAACGCCGCGUGAGUGAAGAAGGUUUUCGGAUCGUAAAGCUCUGUUGUUGGUGA
rnacentral:rRNA from 1 species